GACGAACGCUGGCGGCGUGCUUAACACAUGCAAGUCGAACGGAAAGGCCCUGCUUUUGUGGGGUGCUCGAGUGGCGAACGGGUGAGUAACACGUGAGUAACCUGCCCUUGACUUUGGGAUAACUUCAGGAAACUGGGGCUAAUACCGGAUAGGAGCUCCUGCUGCAUGGUGGGGGUUGGAAAGUUUCGGCGGUUGGGGAUGGACUCGCGGCUUAUCAGCUUGUUGGUGGGGUAGUGGCUUACCAAGGCUUUGACGGGUAGCCGGCCUGAGAGGGUGAACGGCCACAUUGGGACUGAGAUACGGACCAGACUCCUACGGGAGGCAGCAGUGGGGAAUAUUGCACAAUGGGCGGAAGCCUGAUGCAGCAACGCCGCGUGCGGGAUGACGGCCUUCGGGUUGUAAACCGCUUUCGCCUGUGACGAAGCGUGAGUGACGGUAAUGGGUAAAGAAGCACCGGCUAACUACGUG
rnacentral:rRNA from 1 species